GACGAACGCUGGCGGCGUGCUUAACACAUGCAAGUCGAACGAGAGCGUAGAGAAAGCUUGCUUUUUCUACAAUCUAGUGGCAAACGGGUGAGUAACGCGUAAACAACCUGCCCUACGGAUGGGGACAACAGCUGGAAACGGCUGCUAAUACCGAAUACGUUCCGAAAGUCGCAUGACUAUCGGAAGAAAGGAUGGCCUCUAUUUAUAAGCUAUCGCCGGAGGAGGGGUUUGCGUCUGAUUAGCUAGUUGGAGGGGUAAAGGCCCACCAAGGCGACGAUCAGUAGCCGGUCUGAGAGGAUGAACGGCCACAUUGGAACUGAGACACGGUCCAGACUCCUACGGGAGGCAGCAGUGGGGAAUCUUCCGCAAUGGGCGAAAGCCUGACGGAGCAACGCCGCGUGAGUGAAGACGGCCUUCGGGUUGUAAAGCUCUGUUAUACGGGACGAAUAAUCUUGUGGUUAAUACCCAUGAGAAGUGACGGUACCGUAAGAGAAAGCCACGGCUAACUACGUG
rnacentral:rRNA from 1 species